rnacentral:rRNA from 1 species
GAUGAACGCUGGCGGCGUGCCUAAUACAUGCAAGUCGAGCGAACAGACGAGGAGCUUGCUCCUCUGACGUUAGCGGCGGACGGGUGAGUAACACGUGGAUAACCUACCUAUAAGACUGGGAUAACUUCGGGAAACCGGCGCUAAUACCGGAUAACAUGUUGAACCGCAUGGUUCAACAGUGAAAGACGGUCUUGCUGUCACUUAUAGAUGGAUCCGCGCCGCAUUAGCUAGUUGGUAAGGUAACGGCUUACCAAGGCAACGAUGCGUAGCCGACCUGAGAGGGUGAUCGGCCACACGGGAACUGAGACACGGUCCAGACUCCUACGGGAGGCAGCAGUAGGGAAUCUGCCGCAAUGGGCGAAAGCCUGACGGAGCAACGCCGCGUGAGUGAAGAAGGUCUUCGGAUCGUAAAACUCUGUUAUUAGGGAAGAACAAAUGUGUAAGUAACUAUGCACGUCUUGACGGUACCUAAUCAGAAAGCCACGGCUAACUACGUG